rnacentral:misc_RNA from 1 species
GAUGAAGAACUUAGCAAAAUGCGAUAAGUAAUGUGAAUUGCAGAAUUCAGUGAAUCAUCGAAUCUUUGAACGCACAUUGCGCCCGCUAGUAUUCUGGCGGGCAUGCCUGUCCGAGCGUCAUUUCAACCCUCAAGCCCCCGGGCUUGGUGUUGGGGAUCGGCGAGCCUCCGCGCCCGCCGUCCCCUAAAUCUAGUGGCGGUCUCGCUGUAGCUUCCUCUGCGUAGUAGCACACCUCGCACUGGGAAACAGCGCGGCCACGCCGUUAAACCCCCAACUUCUGAACGUUUGACCUCGGAUCAGGUAGGAAUACCCGCUGAACUUAAGCAUAUCAAUAAGCGGAGGA